rnacentral:pre_miRNA from 1 species
GUGGUACUCCCUCCGUUCGGAAUUACUUGUCUUGGAUAUGGAUGUAUCUAAAACUAAAAUACAUCUAGAUACAUCCAUUUCUGUGACAAGUAAUUCUGAACGGAGGGAGUACUUC